rnacentral:rRNA from 1 species
GACGAACGCUGGCGGCGUGCUUAACACAUGCAAGUCGAACGGAAAGGCCCUGCUUGUGUGGGGUGCUCGAGUGGCGAACGGGUGAGUAACACGUGAGUAACCUGCCCUUGACUUUGGGAUAACUUCAGGAAACUGGGGCUAAUACCGGAUAGGCGCUCCUGCUGCAUGGUGGGGGUUGGAAAGUUUCGGCGGUUGGGGAUGGACUCGCGGCUUAUCAGCUUGUUGGUGGGGUAGUGGCUUACCAAGGCUUUGACGGGUAGCCGGCCUGAGAGGGUGACCGGCCACAUUGGGACUGAGAUACGGCCCAGACUCCUACGGGAGGCAGCAGUGGGGAAGAUUGCACAAUGGGCGGAAGCCUGAUGCAGCAACGCCGCGUGCGGGAUGACGGCCUUCGGGUUGUAAACCGCUUUCGCCUGUGACGAAGCGUGAGUGACGGUAAUGGGUAAAGAAGCACCGGCUAACUACGUG